rnacentral:rRNA from 1 species
GAUGAACGCUGGCGGCGUGCUUAACACAUGCAAGUCGAGCGAUGAAGUUUCCUUCGGGAAACGGAUUAGCGGCGGACGGGUGAGUAACACGUGGGUAACCUGCCUCAUAGAGUGGAAUAGCCUUCCGAAAGGAAGAUUAAUACCGCAUAAUGUUGAAAGAUGGCAUCAUCAUUCAACCAAAGGAGCAAUCCGCUAUGAGAUGGACCCGCGGCGCAUUAGCUAGUUGGUGGGGUAACGGCCUACCAAGGCGACGAUGCGUAGCCGACCUGAGAGGGUGAUCGGCCACAUUGGGACUGAGACACGGCCCAGACUCCUACGGGAGGCAGCAGUGGGGAAUAUUGCACAAUGGGGGAAACCCUGAUGCAGCAACGCCGCGUGAGUGAUGAAGGUUUUCGGAUCGUAAAGCUCUGUCUUUGGGGAAGAUAAUGACGGUACCCAAGAG